rnacentral:rRNA from 1 species
GCGGCAGGCUAACACAUGCAAGUCGAACGGGAUCUUCGGAUCUAGUGGCGGACGGGUGAGUAACGCGUGGGAAUAUGCCCUUCGGUUCGGAAUAGCCUCGGGAAACUGNGAGUAAUACCGGAUACGGUCUACGGACGAAAGAUUUAUCGCCGAAGGAUUACCCGCGUUGGAUUAGGUAGUUGGUGGGGUAAUGGCCUACCAAGCCGACGAUCCAUAGCUGGUUUGAGAGGAUGAUCAGNCACACUGGGACUGAGACACGGCCCAGACUCCUACGGGAGGCAGCAGUGGGGAAUCUUAGACAAUGGGGGCAACCCUGAUCUAGCCAUGCCGCGUGAUCGAUGAAGGCCUUAGGGUUGUAAAGAUCUUUCAGUGGGGAAGAUAAUGACGGUACCCACAGAAGAAGCCCCGGCUAACUCCGUGCCAGCAGCCGCGGUAAUACGGAGGGGGCUAGCGUUAUUCGGAAUUACUGGGCGUAAAGCGCACGUAGGCGGACCGGAAAGUCAGAGGUGAAAUCCCAGGGCUCAACCUUGGAACUGCCUUUGAAACUCCUGGUCUUGAGGUCGUGAGAGGUGAGUGGAAUUCCGAGUGUAGAGGUGAAAUUCGUAGAUAUUCGGAGGAACACCAGUGGCGA